rnacentral:misc_RNA from 1 species
GACAUGUCCGGUCUACAUGGCAACAUGUGUGAAACACCAUGACCUGGUAUUGGAGCUCCAGCUGGUAAAUUGUUGGGCUGAAAGCCCAUAUUAUUACCAGGUGGCCUUUCAAGGGGCGGCCGAAAGUAACCUUCCUGCCCAAAAGAAGGGGCUGCAUGUGAAGGAUUUCUUCCACUCAUCCAUGUGCCUUGCUGAUUAUCUGUGCUAAAUUCACUUGUCGGCAUCCUCCAAAGUUCAUCACCAACAAAUCGCCUUCGUCCAUCAGGAUAAGAAUGGAUAGUGUAUGGACGAGGAAAUGAAUGCUGAGGAUGUUGCUGAAUAGCAGGCUUUGCAAAAGAAAAUUGACCAGACGCAGUUUGUGGCAAGGUUGGAUGUAAAGGUCUUUGUGCAAAAGGAGCAUUUCCUGUUUGAAAAUGUUGAGAUGCUUGGGAAUUUAAAUACAGGUCAUUAUGUCCAUAAUCCAAUUGCCUUGAAGGAUUAUAUCCUGAAGGUUCUCUAGAACUGCAGACUGCCGUAGGUGUGAAGCAAGGUGACUGCUGUGGAAACAAUUCACUUUUUAUGCCAGCAUCCAUAUGAUUCACAUGAAUAUUUCCAGCCAUUUUAGCAAGUUGAUUACCACCAGAUGUACUGCAAUAUUCAUGAGUUACAGCUGGUGGAUAUGCCAACUGUGGUGAGGACUGUAAUGAAGACACAGAAGGUAGAAUUGGUUGAGUCGCCAAGGAAGGUUGAGUUGGUGCUAACUGUUGAGGUACCAAUGACUGUGGAUGGCCUGAAGCUGGUACAAGAGGAGGAGGUGGCUGUGAUGGAACAGGUGGUGGAGGUGGAGGUGGAGGUGGAGGUGGAGGUUGUGAAGGAGAUGUAGGGGGUGGUGGUGGUGGUGGUGGUGGUGGUGGUGAGGGAGGUAAAGGUGGGGUUGAGGGAGGAGAAUCAGGAGGCAAUGGAGGAGAACUUUCCGGCAGAGGAGGCAGCUCAACAGAUUUGGCGACUACUGGCUCCAGAACUCCAUCUGAGCAAUGCUGCGGGGCAUCCACUUCUAAAGAAUUUGUGAACAACGGUCUUUCAUCCUUUUGGUGUCCAGACACAUCUUCCAUUUCAAGUUCACCAUCCACUUCCUCUAAGAUGCAAUGACGCCUGUCAUUUGGAGUCAUAGUACAUGUUUCUGACUCUCCUAAAGUACGGGUGGGUUCUGCUAGUGAUGACACAUCGCCACCUUCCUUCAAUGAACUGCCAGGAAGAUCAUCUUCCUCAUCUUCAUCUUCAAAUGCAUUAGAACAUACAAAGCCAGGCAACUGAAAUGUAGCAUUGCUGCCAUAUUCAUCUACAAGCAUGCCUUCCAUUUCUCUGAUGGGAUCAUCUACAGCUCGUUCAGCUCGAGAUGGGCGUCUAAGGGAAAAUCCAGCAGAGGAAUCAUCAUUUGAAACUCCAAUAUCAUCCAUAUAAUGCCUCAAAACGGAAUCAGGAAAAAUUUUC